GACGAACGCUGGCGGCGUGCUUAACACAUGCAAGUCGAACGGUGAAGCGCCUUCCUUUUUGGUGGGUGUGGAUGAGUGGCGAACGGGUGAGUAACACGUGAGUAACCUGCCCCCUUCUUCUGGAUAACCGCAUGAAAGUGUGGCUAAUACGGGAUAUUCUGGGUCUGUCGCAUGAUGGGUCUGGGAAAGAUAUUGUUUCGGUGGGGGAUGGGCUCGCGGCCUAUCAGCUUGUUGGUGGGGUGAUGGCCUACCAAGGCGGUGACGGGUAGCCGGCCUGAGAGGGUGGACGGCCACACUGGGAAUGAGACACGGACCAGACUCCUACGGGAGGCAGCAGUGGGGAAUAUUGCACAAUGGGCGCAAGCCUGAUGCAGCGACGCCGCGUGAGGGAUGGAGGCCGUCGGGUUGUGAACCUCUUUCGCCAGUGAAGCAGGCCUGCCUCGUUUGUGGGUGGGUUGACGGUAGCUGGAGAAGAAGCGCCGGCUAACUACGUG
rnacentral:rRNA from 1 species